UGGUUUUGGACCCGUGUCUGCCGGUAGAUCCCCCGUUUUUGUGCGGCCGACUACCGGCGCCGUGUCCAGUUGUUCCUGUGGCUUUGUGUUACCGUUGCCUUUCAAGUGCUUGCGUGCUGGUACCCGAACUAAGGGAAUUGGUGCUACGUACAUGUUGCCUCGCGGUGGACGCCUUCGGGUGUGCUGCUGCGGCCAAAUGGCGCUUGCGGCGUUGCCUCGUUACGCUGCCACGUUUACGUGGUUGUUGUUAUCAAGGCAACCUCGCUCCCGCUGUUGGUCUCGGAUGUUGCCCACGAUGAAGUCUCAUGGCCCUUUUUGGUUGCCUAGACCCGACCCUAAGAAGCUCUCCGAAUUGAGAUCAACCGGAACAGGUGUUGCCUCUACGUAUUCCGCAGUUAGUGGUAUGAUACGCAACAUUUUGCGCCGAUCCUCAAAUAAGUAGGACGAGCUUGGCCCGCUCAAUUGUGACAACCGGCGCGGGGACUGCUUCUGGCUUGACACGCAAGUGGACGGACGGACGACUCCNGACGCUGGAC
rnacentral:misc_RNA from 1 species